UGAGUACGAGACGCUAAGGCGUCGAAGUAGUGGAUGUCAUACUUCCAAGAAAAGCUUGCACUGUCAUAGAUAAAAAACGCCUGUACCAUAACCGACACAGGUGGGUAGGUAGAGUAUACUAAGGGGCGCGAGAUAACUCUCUCUAAGGAACUCGGCAAAAUGACUCCGUAACUUCGGGAGAAGGAGUGCCUUAUUCGUAAGGCUGCAAUAACAAGAUCCAAGCAACUGUUUAUCAAAAACACAGGUCUCCGCUAAGUCGUAAGACGAUGUAUGGGGGCUGACGCCUGCCCAGUGCCAGAAGGUUAAAGAAGUCGGUUAGCAUUAGCGAAGCUGGUAACUGAAGCCCUGGUGAACGGCGGCCGUAACUAUAACGGUCCUAAGGUAGCGAAAUUCCUUGUCGGGUAAGUUCCGACCCGCACGAAAGGCGUAAUGAUUUGGAUACUGUCUCGGAGAGGGGCUCGGUGAAAUAGACUUGUCUGUGAAGAUGCGGACUACCUGCACCAGGACAGAAAGACCCUAUGAAGCUUUACUGUAACUUGAAAUUGAAAUUGGACUUUAUUCGCGCAGUAUAGGUGGGAGGUGUUGAUUAUAAUCUUGCGGGAUUAUUGGAGCCAUCAGUGAGAUACCACUCUUGUAAUGUUAGAUUUCUAACUUUGAAUCAUUAUCUGGUCAGAGAACAGUUUCAGGCGGGCAGUUUGACUGGGGCGGUCGCCUCCUAAAUGGUAACGGAGGCGUACAAAGGUUUCCUCUGAACGGGUAGAAAUCGUAUCUAGAGUGUAAAGGCAUAAGGAAGCUUGACUGUGAGACCUACAAGUCGAGCAGGGACGAAAGUCGGUCUUAGUGAUCUGACGGUACUGAGUGGAAAGGCCGUCACUCAACGGAUAAAAGUUACUCUAGGAUAACAGGCUGAUCUCCCCCAAGAGUUCACAUCGACGGGGAGGUUUGGCACCUCGAUGUCGGCUCAUCGCAUCCUGGGGCGGUAGUACGUCCCAAGGGUUGGGCUGUUCGCCCAUGAAAGCGGUACGCGAGCUGGGUUCAGAACGUCGUGAGACAGUUCGGUCCAUAUCCGGUGUAGGCGUUAGAAUAUUGAGAGGAGCCUUCUUUAGUACGAGAGGACCGAGAAGGACAUACCUCUGGUGUACCAGUUAUCGUGCCAACGGUAAACGCUGGGUAGCUAUGUAUGGAGUGGAUAACCGCUGAAAGCAUCUAAGUGGGAAGCCCACCUCAAGAUAAGUAUUCUC
rnacentral:rRNA from 1 species